rnacentral:lncRNA from 1 species
UGGGAGGGAGGGGGUAACCAGGGCCAGUGCCUCUUGUGGCUGCAGGAAGCCGAGCCAUCCAGGAGGAGCCCAGGGAGCCGCACUGAGAUCCAGGGCGCCGCGGAACUGAGCAGAGCACAGAGCCCAGGCUGAGAUACAAGGAAAAUGAAGAUUCUACUGAGUAUCAUAAUGAUGGCCAUCUUAUGCACUGACUUCGUCCCUGUGUUUAAUGGGAACGCGUCAUCUGCUUUGAAAAAUACCAACAUUACCCGAAUGAGGUGGUGGAAAAUUGAAACUACACCAAGUUUAGGACCCCUCCAGUGUCACGUAUGCAUGGGUGACUUCCAGUGUCAAUCACCACAGGCGUGUGCCCCUACCGAAAAAUUCUGCAUCAUCGCUCAGACCGAGGGAAACCAGAACAACGUGAUCAAGUACUGUUCAGAAACGUGCCCGUUUAUGGAGGACUUCCAUGGAAGAGGCAGAGAGGACUUACUGUACAUUGCCUGCUGUGCCCAGAACUUGUGCAAUUAUAAAAGACUGCGGAGCGGGCACAGAGCGCUCCGUGCUAGUGUCCAAGCGGUGGCAGUGGCAUUUGUGGCGAGCUUCCUCGGGACCCUCAGGAUCGGACCAGGAUAUGUUGGGAUAGAACUGUGACCUCUGAGACCUUGCCAUGCCGCGUUCCUCUCAGUAAGAAAUUCUCACCCAUGCCAUCCCAUUAAUCUUCUGGACGGGAGCUAUCUGGGGCCCUGGGAGCCUUUCCCAUAGCUCCUGAGAGCCGUUGUAGGAUCCCUUCCCUGGCUUAUGUUCUUUAUGUUUCUUUGAGAUGUUUGGAAAAUGUUAUCUAGAUGCUCACUGGUAUUAUGAAUAGUAACAAUAAUUAUAAGAUUUUCCAUUGCCCUUUCGUCCUUAUUUCUUGGGGGGUGGGGCAUGUGUCUUUUUUUUCUCUCAAAAUGUGAUAUUCUAGGAUUCAAAGUCAUGGAGCAUCCCUGGGAAAUUCUUAUCAAACAACAUACUGGAAGGAAAAACCCUUGUAAACGACGC